AUUGAACGCUGGCGGCAUGCUUUACACAUGCAAGUCGAACGGUAGGGUAGCAAUACCUGAGAGUGGCGAACGGGUGAGUAAUGUAUCGGAACGUGCCCAAGAGUGGGGGAUAGCCCGGCGAAAGCCGGAUUAAUACCGCAUACGAUCUAUGGAUGAAAACGGGGGACCGCAAGGCCUCGUGCUCCUGGAGCGGCCGAUAUCAGAUUAGGUAGUUGGUGGGGUAAAGGCUCACCAAGCCAACGAUCUGUAGCUGGUUUGAGAGAACGACCAGCCACACUGGGACUGAGACACGGCCCAGACUCCUACGGGAGGCAGCAGUGGGGAAUUUUGGACAAUGGGCGCAAGCCUGAUCCAGCAAUGCCGCGUGCAGGAUGAAGGCCUUCGGGUUGUAAACUGCUUUUGUACGGAGCGAAAAGGCUUCUUCUAAUACAGGAGGCUCAUGACGGUACCGUAAGAAUAAGCACCGGCUAACUACGUGCCAGCCGCCGCGGUAAGAC
rnacentral:rRNA from 1 species